rnacentral:sRNA from 1 species
GCAAGGUGUGGUGGCGCAUACUUGUAAUCUCAGCAACUUGGGAGGCUGGGGCAGGAGGAUUGCAAGUUUGAGGCCAGCUUCAGCAACUUAGUGAGACCCUGUCUCAA